GAUGAACGCUGGCGGCGUGCUUAACACAUGCAAGUCGAACGAUGAAGCCCAGCUUGCUGGGUGGUUUAGUGGCGAACGGGUGAUUAACACGUGAGUAACCUGCCCUUAACUCUGGGAUAAGCCUGGUAAACUGGGUCUAAUACCGUAUAGGAUCGUCCACCGCAUGGUGGGUGUUGGACAUAUUUAUCGGUUUUGGAUGGACUCGCGGCCUAUCAGCUUGUUGGUGAGGUAAUGGCUCACCAAGGCGACGACGGGUCGCCGGCAUGAGAGGGUGACCGGCCACAAGGGGACUGAGAGACGGACCAGACUCGUACGGGAGGCAGCAGUGGGGAAUAUUGCACAAUGGGCGCAAGCCUGAUGCAGAGACGCCGCGUGAGGGAAGACGGCCUUCGGGUUGUAAACCUAUUACAGUAGGGAAGAAGCGAAAGUGACGGUACCUGCAGAAGAAGCACCGGCUAACUACGUG
rnacentral:rRNA from 1 species